CCCCUCCUUCCCUGUCAAUUCCAACCCCCCCUUCCCUACCAUUGUUGUAGCUGGCAGAGCUCUACAUGAUCCGCGGCUACAUGAUCCUGUACCCGGCCGGACUAAAAGGAAGUGCACACCCAGUGUUAGUCCAGCCAGGUGCAGGAGACAGAUGCUCCCUGUACCCGCGGACCAAUACAGGGCUCGGCCACGCUACAGUGAGGGAGUGACAGGAUGGAGCGCUGAGCGCGGGCAAUGUCAGGAGAGAGCGCUUUGCCCGGGCAAAGAGGCAGCCGCCUGAGGCUCUCUACAGAGCACCCAGGCCGCUGCAGCAUUAGGGGGGCCGGCAC